CAAGAUUCUGGAUGAUCUGUUUGCAGCUUAUUUGCUUAUGCAUCCCUAUUUGAAAAUUGCUCUUGCUGAAAUUAUUUCCUAAGUAUAUGUAGACAAACUCAUCUCUGAGCCACUGUGGUUAAAGUGCUCUAUAAAUGUAAGAUGGUAAUAUGCCAUUUUUCUCCCCUCAUUUCUACUUUUUACUUUGUCCAAAUUCUGAUUUCCCUUUAAGAUGCAACUCUUCUCUUUUUCAUGAGAUUUUCCAUGACCGUUUUAAGCAUUUUGAGAUGAUUUUCCCCUCUGUGACCCUAAGCACUCAUAUAUAGGCUUUUGGCAUUUCCUGCAUUGUUGAGUCAUUAAUUUGUUGGCAGAGAUUUUUGCCUCAUAUAUAUUUUUUAUCUCCCACAGGACCUGUGUGGAAAUAAAAAGGAAUGAGCAUAGCCUCAUUAGUCUUGGCUAUUUUGAAGAACUAUUGUGAAAUAUUCACUGGGUGAUUAGUGAAUAUUUUUAGAAAUAAAAUCAAUCUGUUCAUCCUGUUCACUCUGUCCAUGUAGCCUUUAUAAUUCUGUAGAUUUUGUUUAUGUAAUCUCUAAGCUUUGGUUGUUACAGGUUGAAGAAGUCCUCAGCUUUUUAGUUUAUUCUCAUGGUAUUACUUCACCCUGGUGUGUGUUAUUCUGAAGAUUAUGGUUAUCAGCAUCUCUAAUCUCAUGCACCAGUCCAGCUAAAGAUAGUGUUAGUUUUUUUCUGAUAAAUUUUGGCU
rnacentral:lncRNA from 1 species